GACGAACGCUGGCGGCGUGCUUAACACAUGCAAGUCGAACGAAGUGGCGAACGGGUGAGUAACGCGUAAUCAACCUGCCCUUCAGAGGGGGACAACAGUUGGAAACGACUGCUAAUACCGCAUACUGAAGGAGGGGAUUGCGUCUGAUUAGCUAGUUGGAGGGGUAACGGCCAACCAGGGCGAUGAUCGGUAGCCGGUCUGAUAGUAUGAACGGCCCAAUGGGGACUGAGAACAGGCCCAGAAUCCUACGGGAGGCAGCAGGGGGGAAUCUUCCGCAAUGGACGAAAGUCUGACGGAGCAACGACGCGUGAGUGAUGACGGCCUUCGGGUUGUAAAGCUCUGUUAAUCGGGACGCGGUACCGGAAUAGAAAGCCACGGCUAACUACGUGCCAGCAGCCGCGGUAAUAC
rnacentral:rRNA from 1 species